rnacentral:rRNA from 1 species
AUUGAACGCUGGCGGCAUGCUUUACACAUGCAAGUCGAACGGUAACAGGCCGCAAGGUGCUGACGAGUGGCGAACGGGUGAGUAAUGCAUCGGAACGUGCCCAGUCGUGGGGGAUAACGCAGCGAAAGCUGCGCUAAUACCGCAUACGAUCUAUGGAUGAAAGCGGGGGACCGUAAGGCCUCGCGCGAUUGGAGCGGUCGAUGUCAGAUUAGGUAGUUGGUGAGGUAAAGGCGCACCAAGCCAACGAUCUGUAGCUGGUCUGAGCGGACGACCAGCCACACUGGGACUGAGACACGGCCCAGACUCCUACGGGAGGCAGCAGUGGGGAAUUUUGGACAAUGGUCGCAAGCCUGAUCCAGCAAUGCCGCGUGCAGGAAGAAGGCCUUCGGGUUGUAAACUGCUUUUGUACGGAACGAAACGGUCCGGGUUAAUACCCUGGGCUAAUGACGGUACCGUAAGAAUAAGCACCGGCUAACUACGUGCCAGCAGCCGCGGUAAAAC